rnacentral:rRNA from 1 species
UACGUAGGGUGCGAGCGUUGCCCGGAUUUAUUGGGCGUAAAGGGCGCGUAGGCGGCUCGGCACGUCCGUUGUGAAAUCGCUCGGCUCAACUGGGCGAGGUCAGCGGAUACGGUCGAGCUUGAGCCAGCUAGGGGGCAAUGGAAUUCCCGGUGUAGUGGUGGAAUGCGUAGAUAUCGGGAGGAACACCAGUGGCGAAGGCGGUUGCCUGGGGCGUGUGCUGACGCUGAUGCGCGAAAGCGUGGGGAGCGAUCCGG